AUGUGGGAGGAAUGCUUGCCUCAUAUUGAAUUUGCUUAUAAUCGUUCAUUGCAUUCUACUACUAAGAUGUGCCCUUUUGAAGUUGUGUAUGGUUUCCUACCUCGUGCACCUAUUGAUUUGUUGCCUCUUCCAUCUUCGGAGAAGGUUAAUUUUGAUGCUAAACAACGUGCUGAAUUGAUUUUAAAAAUGCAUGAGUUAACUAAGGAAAACAUUGAGCGCAUGAAUGCUAAAUAUAAACUUGCUGGAGAUAAGGGUAGAAAACAUGUUGUGUUUGCACCUGGAGAUCUUGUUUGGUUACAUUUGCGUAAGGAUAGAUUUCCUGAUUUGCGCAAAUCAAAGUUAAUGUCACGUGCUGAUGGUCCCUUUAAGGUGUUAGAGAAAAUAAAUGAUAAUGCAUAUAAACUUGAGCUGCCUGCAGAUUUUGGGGUUAGUCCCACUUUUAACAUUGCAGAUUUGAAGCCUUAUUUGGGUGAGGAAGAUGAACUUCCGUCGAGGACGACUUCAUUUCAAGAAGGGGAGGAUGAUGAGGACAUCAAUACAAUUGUUACACCCACAGCCCCUGCUGCUAUACAUACUGGACCAAUUACUAGAGCUCGUGCACGCCAACUAAAUUACCAGGAAACAGACCCUCGUGGUCAGGUUGAUCGUGCUCCGGCGUGGUCAAUAACCUCUCGGAGUUGGUUUAGCGAUUGCUAA
rnacentral:rRNA from 1 species